rnacentral:rRNA from 1 species
GGGGAACCAGGACUUUUACUUUGAAAAAAUUAGAGUGCUCCAGGCAGGCCUAUGCUCGAAUACAUUAGCAUGGGAUAAUAGAAUAGGACGUGUGGUUCUAUUUUGUUGGUUUCUAGGACCGCCGUAAUGAUUAAUAGGGACAGUCGGGGGCAUCAGUAUUCAAUUGUCAGAGGUGAAAUUCUUGGAUCUAUUGAAGACUAACUACUGCGAAAGCAUUUGCCAAGGAUGUUUUCAUUGAUAAGGAACGAAAGUUAGGGGAUCGAAGACGAUCAGAUACCGUCGUAGUCUUAACUAUAAACUAUGCCGACUAGGGAUCGGACGAUGUUAUCUUUUGACGCGUUCGGCACCUUUCGAGAAAUCAAAGUGCUUGGGCUCCAGGGGGAGUAUGGUCGCAAGGCUGAAACUUAAAGAAAUUGACGGAAGGGCACCACCAGGGGUGGAACCUGCGGCUUAAUUUGACCCAACACGGGGAAACUCACCAGGUCCAGACACAGUGAGGAUUGACAGAUUGAGAGCUCUUUCUUGAUUCUGUGGGUGGUGGUGCAUGGCCGUUCUUAGUUGGUGGAGUGAUUUGUCUGCUUAAUUGCGAUAACGAACGAGACCU